GGAGCCCCACCUAGGAUCACUGAGGAGAGUCAGGCCUCGAGGGCUGUGGUGGGCUCAGCGGGAGAACACUCACCUAGUAAGUUCAUUCUUUCACUAAAGCUGUAACAGAGAAGAGCCGGUGUGCAGCACCUUGCACGGGAUCCGACAUCUAUUGGGCUCAGCUCCAGCCCUGUCAUCUGGUUGGCCUGGACCUAGAGCAUGCUGGCCCUGCCACAUGGGGUGAUUGACUAGGUGUGAGCAGGCCCAAUGGAGAAGGGCACUGCAUUCCCUCCCCUUGUCAGGCUUGUUCAAGGAACAUGGAGAGAUACGCCAUUUCCAAGCCCACCAGCAACAUUCCAGUCUCUCUACACCUUUUCUGAUAAGUUAUGGGCAGCCUUUUCAGUGAUGGCCACCCAGAUCAGCAGAUCUGGUAUGGACUCAGCUGUCCAUGGUGCUAUGCCUGCUCAGAGCAGUUUGCCCCGCUGGAGCCUCAGCAGAGGGGUGUCUCUUGUACAUUUCCUGGACCCCUUUCUCCUGCUUGUGGAUUUCCUCAUCUGCCCCAGAACCCUGAGCUUGGGAGCCACCUGGAUAGGGCGCCUGGGUUUGCUAAAACACUUUGAAGGUGGGUCUGUCACUCUGACCUGGCCACUCUGUGCUUUCCUCUCACCACUCCACACUUGGCCUCAGGAAGUUUCCAGACACUUCCCCUCUAGCCUCCUCAGACCCCACCAUUACCCACUCCAGCAAGCUGUGAUCUCCAGGACCGCAUGCCACGAUGCUAUCUACUUACCGACUUUUAGAAGUUGUGACAGCUUCAGGGAAGCACACCACCAACUUCAUCCGGAAGAUGAGUCACUUCCUCCCUCAUGGACUGCGAGUCUGAGGGUAGAAGGCAGGAAUAGCAGUGACCCACAGCUGCAGAGGCUUAUGGGAUGCUCACUCAGAGGGCCUGGCUCACACGGCACUUCUGGAAAGGCCAGCCUGACGUUAGGGCUAAGGCUGGGCUAGGCAGGAUCCUUCUUUGCUGCUGCUAUGGGGAGAGGGAGGAGAGGACCUGGACCAGCAUCCUUGCAUCCCUCACAGCUGUUUAUCCAGGGUUCUGUCAGCUUGCGUCUGGAGAUUCCCCUACAGCCGUCACUCCAGAGCAUGCCCUCCAUUCAGCACACAAGGUCUCUUCGGUUCUAGAACACAUGUCAAGUGUUCUGGGUGAUGCUGGCCUUAUGCAAAUGCUAUCCUCUCUUCGAUAUGUAGAGAGAGCAUACUGUGUGGCCCUAGCAAGGGAAGAGACCAGGUCUCAGGUCUUUCAAAUGAAGUGGCCUCCCAAAGGCAAGGGCAGGGUAGAUUUCCCCAGAAAAUAGGAGAGGGUAUGAGGUCUCUCGCUCACCACAGCACAUCCCAGGCUAGCUGGCUUGAGAGCUUACGAGGACCCUCCUCUUUCUGCUCUCAUGUCGCCAUAGAAGUGCUGAAUUAAAGAUCUGCCCUGUGGUGCCAGGCUUUACACGUGCUCUGGAGAUCCACAUUCAGGUCCUCAUGCUUACAUCACAAGCGUGUUACCCACUGAGCCAUCUCCCUAGCCCUGAAGUCUCCUGAAUGCGAGAUGGGAAACCACCUUUAAGAUCUGGUCAUCAAGGGGAGGUGGUUUUGCAUAAACAAGCCAACCUAGUCUUCAGAGCAAUUUAGGCCUGAGCUCAGCUAAUGACCAGCCACAUGGCAGUGGGUGGUUAUUUAGUGUUUUCUAAGCUUCUGUCUCCUUGCUGUAAAAUGAAUGUGUUGCCAGGUGUCUCCCUGUACACCUGAAAUCCUAGCUCUCAGGAGUUUGAGGUAAGACUCUCACUUUAAGUUCGAGGCCAGUCUAGACUAUGUAACAAGCUUGAGGCAAGUUUGGGCUACAUUGUGAGAUCCUGACUCACAAAUCACCCAAAAUAAGCCAAAUAUUAAAAAUGGACGCAUCGAUGAAGACUUACAUCACAGUACAUCCGGCACUGUUCUCAGUACAGGGAUUGGCUCAGCCAAUGCUCCCAACAACCUAUUAGAAUCUCCAGUUUCUAGAUGAGGAAGCAGAGACACAGAGGAACUAAAGCAUUUGUUCAAGGUCACAGAGCUGGCAAGGGACAGGUCAAGAUCAGAGCCCAGGCCAUAUCCCUAGUCAGAUCUCUGAGUCAGAGGCCAGUCAUGAACUUGGUCCACAGCCAUUAGUCCCCAUGCCUUGGGUUGGACCACUUGCUCCACUGAAGACUGUCUGGGUGGUCUUGGCUGGUCGCUUGCCUUGUCAAAUCUCAGUUCUCCCCAUAUAACAGAAACCAUUCGAACCCCAACUAGUGACUCCAAGGUUCUUGCUCCCGCUCAGCCCCUUCCUGAACUGUGCAUCUCCUUGCUCUGUGGAGAGACCUCAGGCACACGAGGCUCACAUGGAAACUGAUCUUUCACACGUGAAGCGCCAAGUCCAAUCAGAACCAGACCUAUCUCUCACCAGUGUGUCUCCCCUCAGCCUGUGGGGCAAUGUCCUUCCCCUUCCUGUCUGUUCCUGCCCCACCUUUCACCCAGAGUUCACUCCAACUGCUUUCUGGACCCUUGUCUUGCUGUCUCUUUGCUUUAAUUCCAUUGUCCCUGACCCCAGUCUGUCCUCCACACCCUGCCACAGAUCCUUCCAAGCCCCCAACUUCCUGUGCCUAGCCUUCUCCACGGAGUAACACCCAAUGUUCAUCACAUCCAAAGCCAAACCUCCCUCCCGGACUCACUGAAGCGCCACGUACCCCGUCUCCACUUCUGAGCCGGAGCGUUUCCUCUGAUCUAAUGCCCGUCUCAAAUCCUUCACUGGUCCCCCAAGCUCCCAGACAACUAAUGUUUCCUGAGCUCCUGGAAGAACAGGGGUUCAUGUUCUGUUCCCAGGUCCUUGACUAAAGAGCACCUCACGGUCUGGCUCCAUUGCAGAGCCUCCUGAGCCAAUUCCUCUGCCUUCUCUCUGGGUCCAAUAGGGUUUGCAUGCCUCUUCCUCAUCUAAGACCUUAGGGUAAGGAUAGAGGAACCCUAGGGUCACCUAUCACAGGGCAGCAUAAUCCUAAAGAAAAACAAGUCAGGAAUCUCAGCCUCUCCAGAACAAAGCCUCAGAGGGAGGGGUGUGCAUUGUGUGUGCAUGUGCGUGUGAGUUUACAUGUGUGUAGUGGUGUGAGGGCUGCCCAGCUGGCUGCUCAGUUACUCAUUCAGUCACAGCAUCUCACCACAGUUUUACUUAAGCCAACAUGGAUUGUCUGAUCAUCCUCAUUAAAAGGUAAACCAAGGCAGAGAGCACAGCCACCUACCCAGGGUGCACAGCUGCUUGGUGGCUGGUGUUCAGACCCAAGCCAGGUGCAUUUAGCCCCAGAGACAGAUGGGCUUCUGCUCUGGUCACACUGACUCUUGGUGGAAGCGAGGAUGACACUAGAGGCCCUGACCUGUGUGCUGAGUUUGGUCUGUUCCGCAGAGCGCUGAGGACCUCCUGCUUGUGGCUGGGAAGGCGCCCAGGCUCUCCUGAGGUGUAUUUUUAACUCCUCUUCUUCCUUGACACUUUCCUUUUCCAGCCCGUCAUGUCUGUCAGAGCCUCACACCUCUAAGGGGGUGGAGGUGAUGGAGAGGAGCAGUGGCAGCUAGACAGGGAGAGACAGCCUGUCACCAUUCUCAACUCCACCCCCAGAGCAGAGUGGUGUCCAGGCACAGGGCACAGGCAGCUGGCCAGCCAGCCUGUUUGGGCUGAGGGCUGCUCUAUUUUUCUCUUCUC